CAGGGUAAACGUCUGAGCGUUCUUCAGGAUCACUUUCUACAGUCCGUUCCUUCAGACAUCAGGCAAGAAGUGGGCGGUUUUUGGACGAGAAGGCGCCUGUUGUGUAUUAAGGAAUGCUAUGGAGGGUACAUGGACUUGGACGUAACCCGCCUCAGCCACCAACAGGCGACAUACUUUGAGGCGUGACGCUGGACAAGGUCGCGCCUGUGGGCGGCGACGGCGUCGGCGUCGGGGCGCGUGCAUGGCGGCGGCGUCG